rnacentral:rRNA from 1 species
CCUACGGGAGGCAGCAGUGGGGGAUAUUGCACAAUGGGGGAAACCCUGAUGCAGCGACGCCGCGUGUGGGAAGACGGUCCUCUGGAUUGUAAACCACUGUCUCCAGGGACGAAGAUGACGGUACCUGAGGAGGAAGCUCCGGCUAACUACGUGCCAGCAGCCGCGGUAAGACGUAGGGAGCGAGCGUUGUCCGGAAUUACUGGGGGUAAAGGGAGCGUGGGCGGUGAGGCAAGUUGGGUGGCAAAACUACCGGCUCAACUGGGAGUCGCACUCAAAACUGCAGCGCUUGAGUGAAGUAGAGGCAGGCGGAAUGCCUGGUGGAGCGGUGAAAUGCGUAGAUAUUAGGAGGAACACCAGUGGCGAAGGCGGCCUUCUGGGCUUUUACUGACGCUGAGGCUCGAAAGUGUGGGGAGCAAACAGGAUUAGAUACCCGUGUAGUC